rnacentral:RNase_P_RNA from 1 species
CGAGUCGACCGGGCGGCCGCGUCGGUGCUGCAAGGCACCGCCGAGGAACGUCCGGGCUCCACAGGGCAGGGUGGUUGUUAACGGCAACCCGGGGUGACCCGCGGGACAGUGCCACAGAGAACAGACCGCCAGGCUUCGCACCUGGUAAGGGUGAAACGGUGGGGUAAGAGCCCACCAGCGUCCCGGGUGACCGGGGCGGCUAGGUAAACCCCACCCGGAGCAAGGUCAAAAGGGCCGGCGCCCACGGGCCCGGCCUGCGCAGGCGUUCGAGGGCAGCCCGCCCGAGCCUGCGGGUGGACCGCUGGAGCCUGUCGGCAACGGCAGGCCGAGAUGGAUGGCCGCCCCUCGCCGCAAGGCGAGGACAGAACCCGGCGUACAGGUCGACUCGUCCG